rnacentral:tRNA from 1 species
GCCCAGGUGGUGGAAUUGGUAGACACGCCAGCUUGAGGGGUUGGUGGGAGUAAUCUCGUGGAGGUUCGAGUCCUCUCCUGGGCA